GGCCAGAUAGCACAGUGGUUAGUGCAUGGAUGUCUGUUUCGGGGCUAAUGCAAUAUUCGAUCCGCUACCCUUGUUCGACUCGGGGUCUGGCCU